rnacentral:rRNA from 1 species
GCAUCUAAGCGUGAAACCCUCCACAAGAUGAGAUCUCCCAGGCCGCAAGGCCUCUAAAGGCUCCUGGAAGAUGACCAGGUUAAUAGGUCGGAUGUGUAAGCGUGGUGACACGUUGAGCUUACCGAUACUAAUCAGCCGUGAGGCUUGACCAUAAAU